ACUCUGGGUCAGACUAGAUGGCUUCUGGGGUCCCUUCUAACUCAGGGAAUUCAUGACUAAGAAAUUUCUAUGACCUUUCUGAUGUGACAUGUAACAACAUGCUAUAAAAUUCCUUCUAGAUCAAGCAUUCUCAAUCCUAAAUUCCUUUCCAACUCUGACUUUGAAGCUUUCAUCAGCUAUUCUUUCCCUUCCCUAGGACCUGGGCUCCUCUCCUGCUUUUCCUGAAGUCCCACUUGAGAGUUCCUAUCAGACACUGGACAUCACCAGAGUAGAUGUUUAUGACAAGAUUUAUCCCUGGAAGCCUAAAGCUUAAGGAAGUGGGGAAAGUCCCAAGGCAAGUUGUGACAACCCUUCUGUUUCCAUUCAUGAAGGAGGGUUCAGAGGUAUCUCUCAAGAGAAAAAGCUGAGAUCUUGGGAUCAAUAGGGAAAACUUACCAGGAAAGAGAGAAAAGGAUGGGUUUUCAGAGAGGAAAGGCUCCCAUGAACCCAGGGAACCCCCAGACAUCCCAGAAAGGAUCAAGAAGAAUGAAAGAUGCCAGAGUUUGAAUGUGCCUGAGCUGGUCAGAAGACAAGAUGCGACAUGCUCUGUUGCUCUCUAAGUGCUUUAGUAUUGAAUGUCUUCAUAUUUUCCUGUCUUCUUUAUCUACCUAAAAAUCCUUUUGGAAACUUCCACACUUAUUCCUACUAAACUUGGGAGUCAAUGAUCCAUCAUAUUUCCCUGGUCUAAAAUGCUGAGAUUCUCAGAGUCAAAGAGUCCAUGGUCUUAUGCUCUGAGGUUCCAUGGAAUCAGGAAAUUCUGCCACUCAACAACAUGACCUCAAAGUUGGAUCACCAGAGGCAGAAGUGGUUGAUGGUUGUGUAAAUCCCUACAGAGUAUGAAGAAAUCCAGCCAAAGAAGAAUAAUGGCAAUUGCAGAGAGUAUGGAUGCUCAUGGCUGAAAGAAAUGGGCAGUAUUGAGUUCUAAUGAUAGUGACUCCUAGAGCCCAAUAGUGAACUCUACUUAUGGAGAAUUUUCCAACAGGAAAAAAAGGAUAUCCAUAGUCAGAAUCUGGGUGGCACCCUGUAAUGUCUGGGCUAGCUUUCUGGGGGUCCUCAGGAUGGGCCUUAGUCUCAGUAAGAUAGUCACCAUGGGGAUGGUCAGGAAUAGACUCUAUCUCCUUCAUAGUCUGUUCUCUCUGACUGACUGACUGUGUCCCCAGUUCUCUCUGCCCUUAAAUGCCCUAUUAUAAUUACAUCAUUACAGCAUACUAAAUAUGUGUGAACUAGAGAACCAUUACAUCACCAUAUUAAGUACUAAAUAUAUGUAAACUAGAGAACCAUUAUCUCAUCAAUUCCACUGAGUUAACACCUUGUUGUAAGUAUCCUUGUUUCAAGUAUACUUCUCCAGAAUUCCAUUCCUCUACAGCACCCUUAUCUAGAGUAAUCCUCCACAUAGGCCUCUCACUACCAUUUUAUUUACAUUUUAUUGUACCCACUCCUUUCAGGGAAACUAUUUAUGGAAAAAUGCACCCCAAAUUUUGGGGGUUUGAGGGGAUAUUUUGUAACACUAGUUCUUACUAUUCUUUCUCAGUAAAUAAUUGUGUUCUCAAUAAUUAUCUUUCUCUUGGAUUGUUAAUGGAAGAAAUCUUUCUUCCAUGAUCAAGUGAGGCUAUAGGAUCAGAUUAUCUCUGUUAUAGUGGUUGCUUAGUUAAAUCAGAAACUUCAUAAGCCCAUGGACCGUAGCACUUCAGGCCUUUUUAUCCUCCACUAUCUCUCAUAAUCUUCCAUGGCACUAUCCAUCCUCUGUCAUUCUCCCUUUUUUCCUUCAAUAUUGCCCAAGAUCAGGAUUUUUUCCAGUGAGUUUUGUCUUCUCAAUCUAUGUUCAAAGCAUUUAAGCUUUAGCUUUAGUAUUUGAUAUUCUAGUAAAUAGAAUUUAUUUGAUUUAGUAUAAACAGCUUUGACCCCUUUGCUGUCCAACAAUACUCAAAAGUCUUCUCUAGCACCACAAUUCAAAAGCAUCAAUUCUACAAUAUUCAGCUAUCCUUAUAGUCCAACUCGGAGUCAUAUAUUGUUACAAAACAAAGCUAUGGUUAUAUGACUUUUGUUGGCAAGAUGAUGGCUUUGCUUUGUAGUAUGCAUCCAGAUUAGCCAUAGAUUUUCUUUCAAUGGGGCAAGUAUCUUUUCUUUUCGUUUUUUUCUUUUUUUUUCUUUUUGCUGAGACAAUUGAGGUUAAGUGACUUGCCCAGGGUCACACAGCUAGGAAGUGUUAAGUGUCUGAGACCAAAUUUGAACUCAGGUCCUCCUGACUUCAGCGCUGGUGCCCUAACCACUGUGCCACUUAGCUGCCUCGA
rnacentral:lncRNA from 1 species